rnacentral:tRNA from 3 species
GCGGGUGUCGUAUAAUGGUUAUUACGUCAGCUUCCCAAGCUGAAGAAGGCGGUCCGAUUCCGCUUACCCGCUCCA